GGGGCGGUUGCCUCCCAAAAUGUAACGGAGGCGCCCAAAGGUUCCCUCAGCCUGGUUGGCAAUCAGGUGGUGAGUGUAAGUGCACAAGGGAGCUUGACUGUGAGACAGACAUGUCGAGCAGGGACGAAAGUCGGGACUAGUGAUCCGGCACCUACUUGUGGAUGUGGUGUCGCUCAACGGAUAAAAGGUACCCCGGGGAUAACAGGCUGAUCUUCCCCAAGAGUCCAUAUCGACGGGAUGGUUUGGCACCUCGAUGUCGGCUCGUCGCAUCCUGGGGCUGGAGUAGGUCCCAAGGGUUGGGCUGUUCGCCCAUUAAAGCGGCACGCGAGCUGGGUUCAGAACGUC
rnacentral:rRNA from 1 species